GAGGGAAAGGCGAAAAGAACCCCGGCGAGGGGAGUGAAAAAGAACCUGAAACCGUGUACGUACAAGCAGUAGGAGCCUCUUUAUGGGGUGACUGCGUACCUUUUGUAUAAUGGGUCAGCGACUUAUAUUCUGUAGCAAGGUUAACCGCAUAGGGGAGCCGUAGGGAAACCGAGUCUUAACUGGGCGAAUGAGUUGCAGGGUAUAGACCCGAAACCCGGUGAUCUAUCCAUGGGCAGGUUGAAGGUUGGGUAACACUAACUGGAGGACCGAACCGACUAAUGUUGAAAAAUUAGCGGAUGACUUGUGGAUGGGGGUGAAAGGCCAAUCAAACCGGGAGAUAGCUGGUUCUCCCCGAAAGCUAUUUAGGUAGCGCCUCGUGAACUCAUCUUCGGGGGUAGAGCACUGUUUCGACUAGGGGGUCAUCCCGACUUACCAACUCGAUGCAAACUGCGAAUACCGAAGAAUGUUAUCACGGGAGACACACGGCGGGUGCUAACGUCCGUCGUGAAGAGGGAAACAACCCAGACCGCCAGCUAAGGUCCCAAAGUCAUGGUUAAGUGGGAAACGAAGUGGGAAGGCUCAGACAGCCAGGAUGUUGGCUUAGAAGCAGCCAUCAUUUAAAGAAAGCGUAAUAGCUCACUGGUCGAGUCGGCCCGCGCGGAAGAUGUAACGGGGCUAAACCAUGCACCGAAGCUGCGGCAGCGA
rnacentral:rRNA from 1 species